CAGGGAAUUUUGCACAAUGGGCGCAAGCCUGAUGCAGCGACGCCGCGUGGGGGAUGAAUGCCUUCGGGUUGUAAACCCCUUUCAGGAGGGACGAAGCGAAAGUGACGGUACCUCCAGAAGAAGCCCCGGCCAACUACGUGCCAGCAGCCGCGGUAAUACGUAGGGGGCGAGCGUUGUCCGGAUUUAUUGGGCGUAAAGAGCUCGUAGGCGGCUCAACAAGUCGGCCGUGAAAGCCUGAGGCUCAACCUCAGGACGCCGGUCGAAACUGUUGUGGCUAGGGUUCGGUAGAGGAGAGUGGAAUUCCCGGUGUAGCGGUGAAAUGCGCAGAUAUCGGGAGGAACACCAGUAGCGAAGGCGGCUCUCUGGGCCGACACCGACGCUGAGGAGCGAAAGCUAGGGGAGCAAACAGGAUUAGAUACCCUGGUAGUCCACGCCGUAAACGAUGAGUGCUAGAUGUUGGGA
rnacentral:rRNA from 1 species